rnacentral:rRNA from 1 species
GAGUUCAAGAUACUGAAACCGUUCAGGGGUAAACCUGAGAAACCCGAAAGGUCGAAAGGGGAAAUUCAUUCGCGUCUCGGACUGGUCGGCGUUGGACGGAUUGUGCGACGGACGGACGUGCUCACGCGCGUCUUCUGCGCCCUCCGUUCUUCGAACCGGNAUCGAACGCGUGCACUUUUCCCCUAGUAGGACGUCGCGAUUCGUUGGGUGUCGGCCUAAGGACCGCAGUGGAGCCCGCGCGGUCGUUUCGGCGUACCGUGCGGACCUGCGGUUUAAUGUACGUAUUAUAUAUGCGUGCACACCUUUACCGACCGACUCGCUCGACGGUAUACCUAUGGCGCGGGGCCGCUAUUUAUCAUUAGCGUCCGGCCCGCGGCAAGCGCGUUCGGUGUAAUUCUUUUGCUAUACGACGGCGAUCGGACUUCGUGCCGGUCCUGUCCCCGAAUGGCUGUUGGCCGCGGUGUUGUCGUGGUAUUGCGGUGGUGGUGGUUUUUUUUGAUCCAUCAUCGUCGUAUUUACCACCUCUCGGACAGACCUCGUCGUCGCGCGUACGUACUUCGGUAUGUGCGCGCGAUACGCCGAUCUGCGACGCUAUAGCUUUGGGUACUUUCAGGACCCGUCUUGAA